rnacentral:rRNA from 1 species
ACGGAAAGGCCCUGCUUUUGUGGGGUGCUCGAGUGGCGAACGGGUGAGUAACACNUGAGUAACCUGCCCUUGACUUUGGGAUAACUUCAGGAAACUGGGGCUAAUACCGGAUAGGAGCUCCUGCUGCAUGGUGGGGGUUGGAAAGUUUCGGCGGUUGGGGAUGGACUCGCGGCUUAUCAGCUUGUUGGUGGGGUAGUGGCUUACCAAGGCUUUGACGGGUAGCCGGCCUGAGAGGGUGACCGGCCACAUUGGGACUGAGAUACGGCCCAGACUCCUACGGGAGGCAGCAGUGGGGAAUAUUGCACAAUGGGCGGAAGCCUGAUGCAGCAUCGCCGCGUGCGGNAUGACGGCCUUCGGGUUGUAAACCGCUUUCGCCUGUGACGAAGCGUGAGUGACGGUAAUGGGUAAAGAAGCACCGGCUAACUACGUGCCAGCAGCCGCGGUGAUACGGUAGGGUGCGAGCGUUGUCCGGAUUUAUUG